rnacentral:rRNA from 1 species
CAGUCGCCGCGGGAAUACAGAGGGUGCGAGCGUUAAUCGGAUUUACUGGGCGUAAAGCGUGCGUAGGCGGCUUCUUAAGUCGGAUGUGAAAUCCCUGAGCUUAACUUAGGAAUUGCAUUCGAUACUGGGAAGCUAGAGUAUGGGAGAGGAUGGUAGAAUUCCAGGUGUAGCGGUGAAAUGCGUAGAGAUCUGGAGGAAUACCGAUGGCGAAGGCAGCCUUCUGGCCUAAUACUGACGCUGAGGUACGAAAGCAUGGGGAGCAAACAGGAUUAGAUACCCCGGUAGUCCCUGUCUCUUAUAC